rnacentral:rRNA from 1 species
CCCGCACAAGCGGUGGAGCAUGUGGUUUAAUUCGACGCAACGCGAAGAACCUUACCAGGGCUUGACAUCCCCUGACCGCGUAUGAAAGUACGUUUUCACCCUCGGGUGACAGGGAGACCAGGUGCUGCAUGGCUGUCGUCAGCUCGUGUCGUGAGAUGUUGGGUUAAGUCCCGCAACGAGCGCAACCCUUGUCUUUAAUUGCCAGCAUUCAGUUGGGCACUUUAAAGAGACUGCCGGUGUUAAGCCGGAGGAAGGUGGGGAUGACGUCAAGUCCUCAUGGCCUUUAUGCCCAGGGCUACACACGUGCUACAAUGGGUGGUACAAAGAGAUGCCAACUCGCGAGAGCGCGCCAAUCUCAGAAAGCCAUCCUCAGUUCGGAUUGGAGUCUGCAACUCGACUCCAUGAAGUUGGAAUCGCUAGUAAUCGCGGAUCAGCACGCCGCGGUGAAUACGUUCCCGGGCCUU